rnacentral:rRNA from 1 species
CGCGUAGGUGGUUUGAUAAGCGAGAUGUAAAAGCCCCGGGCUUAACCUGGGAACGGCAUUUCGAACUGUCAGGCUAGAGUGUGGUAGAGGGUAGUGGAAUUUCCUGUGUAGCGGUGAAAUGCGUAGAUAUAGGAAGGAACACCAGUGGCGAAGGCGACUACCUGGACCAACACUGACACUGAGGUGCGAAAGCGUGGGGAGCAAACA